AGGGUUUGAUCAUGGCUCAGGAUGAACGCUGGCGGCGUGCUUAACACAUGCAAGUCGAACGAAGCACUUUACUUGAUCUCCUUCGGGAGUGAUUGUUUAGUGACUGAGUGGCGGACGGGUGAGUAACGCGUGGAUAACCUGCCUCACACAGGGGGAUAACAGUUGGAAACGGCUGCUAAUACCGCAUAAGCGCACGGUGCUGCAUGGCACAGUGUGAAAAGCUCCGGCGGUGUGAGAUGGAUCCGCGUCUGAUUAGCCAGUUGGCGGGGUAACGGCCCACCAAAGCGACGAUCAGUAGCCGGCCUGAGAGGGCGACCGGCCACAUUGGGACUGAGACACGGCCCAG
rnacentral:rRNA from 1 species